AUUGAACGCUGGCGGCAGGCCUAACACAUGCAAGUCGAACGAGUGGCGGACGGGUGAGUAAUGUCUGGGAAACUGCCUGAUGGAGGGGGAUAACUACUGGAACCGGUAGCUAAUACCGCAUACCAUCAGAUGUGCCCAGAUGGGAGUAGCUAGGUGGUGGGGUAACGGCUAACCAAGGCGACGAUCCCGAGCUGGCGUGAGAGGAGGACCAGCCACACUGGAACUGAGCAACGGUCCAGACUCCGACGGGAGGCAGCAGUGGGGAAUAUUGGCCAAUGGGCGCAAGCCUGAUGCAGCCAUGCCGCGUGUAUGAAGAAGGCCUUCGGGUUGUAAAGUCCUUUCAGCGGGGAGGCGUUACCCGCAGAAGAAGCACCGGCUAACUCCGUGCCAGCAGCCGCGGUAAUUC
rnacentral:rRNA from 1 species